GCCCCAAGCAAGGAAGGAAGGAAGGAAGGAGGAAGCAGGCAGCAGACCCUCUGCCCAGACCAGACCAUCCAGAACAGCUAUUGCUAGGUGGAAGACAUAAUCCUAGAAGAGUAAGCAACUGGUGCCUCUGUGCCAUCUGGCAACUUGUGGCUAAGCACAGCUCCAACACAAUAAGGGCAAAAGGCAGAUUUCUGGCUGUCAUGUGAAUUGGUGCAACAGAUGAAUCCAAGUGGAAUGACAAUGGCUUUCCUUUAUAAUCUCCCAGUUACUCACAAAACACCUUGGGAAAUCUGUUAAUCACUUCUUCUGUCUAGUAGUAAUGGUGUGAAUUCCUUGGACACUGAUUCCUAGUAGUGAGAAACAGUCCCUCCCUAAGAGGUUUUUGCAUUCCCCUUUUACAAGUGGAAGCUUGUCUUGGUAGGAGCCAUACUGCACAUCCACAUUGCAGCUUUCAGCAAGAUCAACCUUGUAUUUGUUGUAAUCACGAAGAAUACAUGAGGGAGUCAACAACUUGGAGGCUCCUGUGAAAAGAUGUGAAGAAAGAUUAUAGAUACUCCAGACCCUGAGUCAACUUCCAUCUUGCACCAAUGAAUACUGUUGCAAAUACUGCAGCAUCUUGAGGCUCUGUCACAGACUUUUUGAACAUGAUACAGCUCUUCACUACACUCUUUAGAGUCAAGUUCAUGCAAAGUUGAGUGGUGUGACUCCUUGUUAAAAUUCUUUGGUUUCUUAGUGCUGGACUUUGAAUGGCGUGCUCGCUCAAGGUAGCCCUUCUUCUUACAAAACCUGCACUCCACAUCCUCGAAUCUGCACACAGAGCAGAUUCACCCUUCACAGCCUGAGCAGAGUUUGCUAUAACCGGGCCUAUCUGCAGAAAUUGUGGAAGGUGCAUUUUCUGUGUUCUGCUGACCCUGUUGUCCAGAAUUUUCACGGUGCUUGGUAUGAAUAGCAUGAACAUUAGUUGCUGCCUCCUGGAUUUCUGUGACUUGUAGUGAUGCAGUUUCACUGUCUGCCUUUUCUUGAGCAAUUGCAAAUGUCAAAUUUGGCUCAGACAGGACCCUUCAUUGCAGUGCUUCAUCAUAAAUCCCACACUCAAGAUGAUCCCUCAGCAUAUCUUCUAAGAAGUCCCCAAAUCCGCAAUGUUGAGAGAGAUUAUACAGCUCUGUGAUAUAAGCAGCAAUACCUUCUCGAGCAAUGCUGUUGAACACAAUUGUGAAAUUUAAAUCUCUGUAUGAUGACUGGUGGUGGUAGUGGUGAGAAAUGAGCCUUCAGUAAUUCCACAAGUUUGUCAAAUGUUUCAUACUUAGUGAGGCAGGAGCAGUGAGUGCUUUUACUAUAGCAAAUGCCUGGGCCUCACAGACAGUCCAAAGGCAGAGAUCGCUUUUGUUCAGGGCUAACUAUCUUGUUUGCUUCAAGAUAAAAGGCAAGCCACUCUGCAAAUGAAUCCCAAGAAGCAGGCUGACUAAUAUCAAACUCUUCAAUGUGUCAAAAAACAGCCGUUUUCGCACAGGAACUACUCAGGUUGUCAAUCUGGGGCCUUUUCAGACUGCUUAACACUAGCACUUGAGAACAGAGCCACACCCUGCUGGUCUUCAGCUCUCAGCAGAUCCCAUCCUCAUCUCCAAAAGUGCUGUGUAGGUAGCAGGAAAAUUGGAGGGAUCACACAGGUCUAAAAACACCUGUAUUGUGUGUGGAGGUCUUCAGACCCCACAGAAACUUCUGGGCAUGCCCUGACUAGUAUGCUGCUGCCACCAUCUGGUUCACA